AUUUCAUUAGUACAUUAUAGUAUAUCUAACUUCCAAUUAGAAGAAUUUUAUUAAAAUGAAAUA
rnacentral:tRNA from 2 species